rnacentral:lncRNA from 1 species
UCAUGACUGACAAUGGGAUUCCAUGGUUGACUACCUGCAGAGUCAUUUAUUGCAUGCAUGCUGUUAUUUACGUCCAGGUUGAAUUAGCGAAGCACGUCUUAUUCUCUUUUCUGUUAAACCGCUAUGUAUCUAAAAUCUAGGACAUCUCUUUUAACUUAUCAACUGAAAAUAAAGGAAAGAGAGAAGGAGGAGGAGAUAUGUCUAGAAACCAAAUGCACCAUGUGUGCUGCAUGAAGUUUCUUUUUCUUGAUUUCUAAAUGCUUUUGUCUCUCUGUGGAGAAUUUGACAACAUCUUUUAUUUAUGUGGUGUGUGUAUAUUGUUCUUCCUCGAAUCAUAUCAUCAUGAAGGAACUUUAUAUGUAACAAAAUAGGAUAAAAAACUAUAUGAUUUUGUACAUGAUUGCAGGUGACAUGACACAAGAGAACUACCUGGAAGAAACCUAGUUCCUUGCAAGCCAGGUGUACUUCCUUGAUUAUCCGAGGCCGAUGAAGAGGGUGUCGCAGAAAGGAUAGAUCUACAAUUGGCAGGCAUGUGUUAGACCGGGUUCCAUCGGAGCGUAAGGAUGGCGGAAGAAUGUAACGUUUGGGAACUUUUUUUAGACCGUCUUCAGUAAAUGUCGUGGCACUAGUAAAUGAAUCAUUUGGUGAAGCUGAGCUCUUUUCCAUUUUUCCUAGUUUCAAAUAUGGCUUAACUCCUUAUUUAUAAGCAGAAAAUAUGAAGGUUUAAUUAUAUGUAUAUUUAAAAUCAUUUAUCCAGUUAUGCAAUGAAUAUGUGUAGUAUGUGAUGCUACCAUGACUAUAAGCGAUGAAAAGUGUAUGCAAUGAAUUAUUAUUGUAUAAUAUUGUUAUUUUUGAAGGCCGAGAAAUGUCAGAUGACGGUAAUUGUUGGUUUCACAAGUUGA